rnacentral:rRNA from 1 species
CCCAGACUCCUACGGGAGGCAGCAGUGGGGAAUAUUGCACAAUGGGGGAAACCCUGAUGCAGCGACGCCGCGUGAGCGAUGAAGUAUUUCGGUAUGUAAAGCUCUAUCAGCAGGGAAGAAAAUGACGGUACCUGAGUAAGAAGCCCCGGCUAACUACGUGCCAGCAGCCGCGGUAAUACGUAGGGGGCAAGCGUUAUCCGGAUUUACUGGGUGUAAAGGGAGCGUAGACGGCAGUGCAAGUCUGGAGUGAAAGGCGGGGGCUCAACCCCCGGACUGCUCUGGAAACUGUACGGCUGGAGUGCAGGAGAGGUAAGUGGAAUUCCUAGUGUAGCGGUGAAAUGCGUAGAUAUUAGGAGGAACACCAGUGGCGAAGGCGGCUUGCUGGACGAUGACUGACGUUGAGGCUCGAAAGCGUGGGGAGCAAACAGGAUUAGAUACCCCUGUA